CCAAUAGCGUAUAUUAAAGUUGUUGCAGUUAAAAAGCUCGUAGUUGAAUUUCGGGAUCAAUUUGUCGGUCGUGCCUCGGUACGUACUGGCAUUAUUGGUUUCUCCCUUCUGACGAACCACGAUGUCAUUAAUUUGGUGUCGCGGGAAAUCAGGACGGUUACUUUGAAAAAAUUAGAGUGUUUAAAGCAAGCUCACGCUUGAAUACAUUAGCAUGGAAUAAUGAAAUAGGACGUUUGAUUCUAUUUUGUUGGUUUCUAGGAUCGACGUAAUGAUUAAUAGGGAUAGUUGGGGGCAUUAGUAUUCAAUUGUCAGAGGUGAAAUUCUUGGAUUUAUUGAAGACUAACUACUGCGAAAGCAUUUGCCAAGGAUGUUUUCAUUAAUCAGUGAACGAAAGUUAGGGGAUCGAAGACGAUCAGAUACCGUCGUAGUCUUAACCAUAAACUAUGCCGACUAGGGAUCGGAUGAUGUUAAUUUUUUAAUGACUCAUUCGGCGCCUUACG
rnacentral:misc_RNA from 1 species